rnacentral:rRNA from 1 species
UAGAGUUUGAUCCUGGCUCAGGAUGAACGCUGGCGGCGUGCCUAACACAUGCAAGUCGAACGGACCCCGCAUCUUCGGAUAAAGGGUUAGUGGCGUCCGGGUGAGUAAUACGUAGGUGACCUGCCCCAAAGUGGGGGACAACUUCUCGAAAGAGAGGCUAAUACCGCAUGUGCUCGCUCAUUCAUUUGGGUGAGUAAAGCCGAAAGGCGCUUUGGGAGGGGCCUGCGUCCGAUUAGCUUGUUGGUGGGGUAAUGGCCUACCAAGGCGAUGAUCGGUAGCUGGUCUGAGAGGACGAUCAGCCACACUGGCACUGACACACGGGCCAGACUCCUACGGGAGGCAGCAGUGAGGAAUAUUGCUCAAUGGGCGAAAGCCUGAAGCAGCAACGCCGCGUGGAGGAUGAAGGCCUUCGGGUCGUAAACUCCUUUUCUGGGAGAAGAGACAAGGACGGUAUCCCAGGAAUAAGUCUCGGCUAACUACGUGCCAGCAGCCGCGGUAAAACGUAGGAGGCUAGCGUUAUCCGGAUUUACUGGGCGUAAAGCGCACGCAGGCGGUUGUGUAAGUCGGACGUGAAAUCUCUCGGCUCAACCGGGAGAGGUCGUUCGAUACUGCGCAGCUUGAGGUUGGGAGAGGGAAGCGGAAUUCCCGGUGUAGUGGUGGAAUGCGUAGAUAUCGGGAGGAACACCAGUGGCGAAAGCGGCUUCCUGGCCCACACCUGACGCUCAUGUGCGAAAGCGUGGGGAGCGAACGGGAUUAGAUACCCCGGUAGUCCACGCUGUAAACGAUGCAAACUAGGUGUUGGUGGUAUUGACCCCAUCAGUGCCGAAGCUAACGCGAUAAGUUUGCCGCCUGGGGACUACGGCCGCAAGGCUAAAACUCAAAGGAAUUGACGGGGACCCGCACAAGCAGCGGAGCGUGUGGUUUAAUUCGAUGCAACGCGAAGAACCUUACCUGGGUUUGACAUGUACGUAGUAGUGAACUGAAAAGGGAACGAGCCUUCGGGAAGCGUACACAGGUGCUGCAUGGCUGUCGUCAGCUCGUGUCGUGAGAUGUUGGGUUAGGUCCCGCAACGAGCGCAACCCUCGUCGCUAGUUACAAGUGUCUAGCGAGACUGCCGGUAUCAAGCCGGGGGAAGGUGGGGAUGACGUCAAGUCAGCAUGGCCUUUAUGUCCAGGGCUACACGCACGCUACAAUGGCCGGUACAACGGGCAGCCAAGCCGCGAGGCGGAGCGAAUCCCAUCAAAGCCGGUCGUAGUUCGGAUUGUAGGCUGCAACUCGCCUGCAUGAAGCCGGAGUUGCUAGUAACCGCAGGUCAGCUAUACUGCGGUGAAUACGUUCCCGGGCCUUGUACACACCGCCCGUCACGUCAUGGAAGUCGGUAACACCUGAAGUCGGUGACCCAACCGCAAGGAGGGAGCUGCCUAGGGUGGGGCCGAUGACUGGGACGAAGUCGUAACAAGGUAGCC